UACGGAGGGAGCUGGCGUUGUUCGGAAUUACUGGGCGUAAAGCGCACGUAGGCGGCUUUGUAAGUUAGAGGUGAAAGCCCAGGGCUCAACCCUGGAAUUGCCUUUAAGACUGCAUCGCUUGAACAUCGGAGAGGUAAGUGGAAUUCCGAGUGUAGAGGUGAAAUUCGUAGAUAUUCGGAAGAACACCAGUGGCGAAGGCGACUUACUGGACGAUUGUUGACGCUGAGGUGCGAAAGCGUGGGGAGCAAACAGG
rnacentral:rRNA from 1 species